GCCGGGCCCGGUCGCCAUGGCGACGGCGCCCGCAGCGCGGCGGGAGCCGGUGGCGGCCCGGCCCGGCGCACACGCGUCUGUCCCGGCGCAGCGGGGUCACCGGGAGGCUCAUCACCGGGUCCCGGCUGAUGGGCCCCCGCAGGCGGCUGCGGGGAGCGCGGUGCUGGGUUGGUGCGCCCCGCCUGUGCGAGGCUGAGGUGUCUGGGGAGGAACUGCCGGGCUUGGGGCCGCCGAGGGGGAGGGAGCCUGCCGCUGAGAAUCUCACAGCAUCUCAAUUUUCUUUAAUUCUGCUCAGAAGCGGCUCUUGAUUAUACUGUGCAGUCCAUCAACUUUCAAAGGAACAUCAAUCAGCAUUAAUCCAAGCAUCAUCUACAACAGAUGCGUCUGUUGCCUGUGCCAGUUCUCAAUGGAAACCCACCAAUGAAGGCAUGUUGGGACACCCCAAGGGCAACCAGAUUUAACCUUCCGGAUGGAAUCCAAUCUGCAUAGAUACCUCAGCUUCUCCAAAGUUACUAUUAGGUAACAACCAUGCUGGUUUUAACCAGUCCUUAGGGAUUCACCCUGGGGUGCAGAAAGAACUCUAAAUGACGGAAACAACAGUAACCACUGGAGCAGCUGCCACCACCACACGUGACUGCUUGACCAGGACUUCACUUCCAGUGGUUUAACAACAGGCAUUUGGCAUUACCCUUAUAAAUAACAUACCUAAAUAAAGGUACAUCUCACUAUGCUCUCAUUUCUGAAAGAUCAGCACUUAACUUACCUGUCUUGCAUGUGGAUCUCCCAACACAGACAGACUAGUGCAGCAGAAAGGAAGGAACAUCUGCCUCCUGACAGGAUACUGUUCCAGUGAAGCUGCACUAUCUCCGUCAUCAGUCCACCUGCAAAGUACACUGUUCCCUGCUUGUUGAGAAAGGUCUGGUUCAUCAUAAGUAGGAGGUGUGUGCCUAUACACGUGCAAAAUAAAGCACAGUCCAUUUGCAACAUAAAACAGGAGAUCAGGUAAUGGACAUCUGCAGCGAGGGCACAGAAAGCUCCAAGUAAGGGAAAAAUAAAGCCUGAAAGCUUAUUUAAAAUAAAGGAACUAUGGAUAUCCUAGCUUUCAUUUAUUUACCAAUGCUGCUCUUUCAAACAAAAACACAUCAAUAAAACAGAACCAGUGGGAAGCAAAGGGAUGGACUGGGAGGAAGAGAGGCUCUAUUUCAGCAGAAACACUGACUA